AUUGAACGCUGGCGGCGUGCUUAACACAUGCAAGUCGAGCGGCAGCGCGGGAGCAAUCCUGGCGGCGAGCGGCGAACGGGUGAGUAAUGCUUCGGAAUCUGCCCUUCAGUGGGGAAUAACCAGUCGAAAGACUGGCUAAUACCGCAUACGAACUGAGGUUGAAAGCAGGGGAUCGCAAGACCUUGCGCUGAUGGAUGAGCCGAAGUCGGAUUAGCUUGUUGGUGGGGUAAUGGCCUACCAAGGCGACGAUCCGUAGCUGGUCUGAGAGGACGACCAGCCACACUGGGACUGAGACACGGCCCAGACUCCUACGGGAGGCAGCAGUGGGGAAUAUUGGACAAUGGGGGCAACCCUGAUCCAGCGACGCCGCGUGUGUGAAGAAGGCCUGCGGGUUGUAAAGCACUUUUAGUGGGGAGGAAGGUCUGCGACCUAACACGUCGUGGAAUUGACUUAACCCACGAAAAAGCACCGGCUA
rnacentral:rRNA from 1 species